CGGCGCGCGCAGCCGGCCUCCCACGCAGGGGACGCCGGAGUGCCCUCCGCUUGCGGGGACGGCGCUGGACGCAGACACAGGCGGGACUCGGUCUAACCCAACAACGUCUCCAAAUGGGGUGUCAGGGUUGAAUAUGGCCUGCAACACUGCCUGAUCAUUUGGAGUCCCCAUGGUGCUCAACUCCAAAAUCCGAAAAGAUUGGGAGAAAAUCCUUCAAAGCCACUGCUUGACCGCCCAUGGAUAAAGGAGGAGGGAUACAUAGGAGAAGCUUGGAAGAACACAAGGAAAAAAAACCCAAAAGAUCUGUUAUACAUGAU